UUGGAAAGCUGUACUACCUAAAUGUGCUGGUUCUUGUCUGAUCUGGGAAGCUAAUGGGUUCAAGCCUGGUUACUACUGGGAUGGGAGGCCAUCUAGGAAUAUUGGGUGCUGUAGGCU
rnacentral:rRNA from 1 species